AGUGCUACGCGCCUGCGAGCUCGCGCACAUACACAUAUACAUACAUACACACAUACAUACAUAUGCACACACACGUACACGCAGAAUCACACACACUCUCCUGGGACAUCAAAGCAUCAGCUCUCUGGACCUGGGAGCUCCAAGAUAGUCUAUCCGCAUCUAGGUAAAGCAGAUUAUUAUCCACAAUGUUGGUGAGCCUCAUCCAAAUUGUUGAAUACCUGAAUGGAACAAAAUUUCCAACCUCUGUGAGCAUGAAGAAAUUUUCUAGCAGACUGCCUUUCAACUUCACCUGCACCAUCAGCUUUCCAGAGUCUCCAUCCUGUCAGCAUUUGGACUGGAACAAUGCCAUUGGCUGUCCUACGCCUCAAACCUCCUGGCCCGUGCUGCAAGAUUCUAACUCACUAGCCUUUGUAAUCAUGUGAGCCAAUUCCUUAAGAGAUAAGAAUCUCUUUCGAGAUAUUAAACAAGACAUUCAAUUGGUUCUUUUACUCUGGAGAACCUAAUACAGCUGUCAUGAAAAACUUGGAUAUUCAAAUUAGAUAAAAGUAUAUUUCAGAAAUGUACCAGGAUCACAUUGUUAGCUUGUCUCUAUGGCUUUAUCCUAAGUCCUUAAGUAUUCUCUGCUUAGACAGCAGGGUUUGCUUAGUGGAGAGAUUGUAUCUCUAACUGUAUUGCCAGGACAGGUUUUUGACUACAUACCACCUAUCUUUCUCAAGAAAGUGAUAAUAAAAGCAAUUUUUUUCAUAUUUGAAAUCCUAGAGUACAACAAUAGCAAAUGGAAAAUGAAGAAAGAGGGAAUUAAAAAUGAGUAAAAGUAUUAACAUUACUUGUUUUAGGAAAAAGUAACAAUAAGUAGAUAAACAAUGGCUAGAUAAGGAAAAAUUUUUAAAGUCACUGUUAAAACUUGAAUUUUCUUCUAAAAUUCUCCUGCUGAACACCUUUCUAGAUGGGUAAAAGAGUGAGAAUAUUAAAUAAAAUUCUAAACUUUUAAAAAUAUAACUGGUUUUAAUUAUCUGACAGGUAACAUACAAAAUUUAUAUGUAAGGACAUUUUUAACUAUAGCAGUUGUUCCCAACAUAUACUUCAAAAGUAGUGUUCGGCCGUCCUAAAACACUAGAAAACUUCUACAGGCCUUUGACCUCUUGUAGAUUAUGUGGAAAACAGUAAUCUAUCUAUUCUGUAUUUUUUUUCAGAAGUAUCCAAAUUUUUUCCUCAGGGAAAAAAAAUACAGGUAAUAAGUUUCUUGAUAAAAUGUUUCUCUUAAAAACUGCAUAGAUUACUUCUACUUUCAGGUAAGGUCUUACUUCUCUCCAUAAAUAAUUGAAAACUUAGAUAAAACAUGUUUUUAGAUACUAGACAACAGUAAAUACUGUGAGCUAAAGAAAUAAAAUAGGUAACUACCUACAAUCAUUCUGACUUUCUGGCCUACAGGAUAUUUAUAAAUCUUGGGGCAGGGAGAGCCAACCCACUAGCUCCCAAGAGCUGUAGCUAACAUUUUAUUUAUUAUUUUUUGAUUUGAGGAGAUGGUGUUUGUAGCAUAAAUCUGAGAUUGCUAGAAUAUUUUGGGACGGAUCACCAAUGAAGAAAGAGUUACUCAGAGAAACAGCUCCAGAAAUCUACAUAACGAAUCAACGAAGUCUUUAGUUGAAUGCCAAUCUGCAUGUUAAGGUGAAACUCCCUGAGGAUAGGCAAAGAAAAUUUCUGAGGAAAGAAUAAUUUCCAGGUACAUAUAAGUCAAAACAAUUUCCACAGGACAAACAGUGUCAUGACUCCUUCCAAGUGCUAGCAAACAAAGUGAAGUAACAUCAUUGAAUACAUGGGCAGUAGUAGAGACGCAAGAUAGGCCCAUGCUCUAGUAAUUGGGCUAAACUAGUCCCAUAAAAUAGAUUAUUCUGUACCAGGGAUCAGCAAAUUAAGGACCAAUCUGAACCACUACUUUCCAGUAACUAAAAUUUUAUUGCAAAAUGGCUUUUCACUUAUUUACAUAUUAUCUAUAGAGACUUCAGUGUUACAACAAUAGAGUGAUAGAAAUCAAACGGUCUGCAAAGCUUUAGAUAAAUACUGUGUGGCUCUUGACAGAAAAAAAAUCCCUUGCUGAUUCCUCCUCUAGACUUGCCCUAAUCAAAGGACUUUCAUGCAACUCAACAGCCUAUCAGAACAAAAUUCAACACUGAUAAAAGUCUGACAACAAAAUUCAGUAAUCAAAUAUUUAACAUUUUCAAUGUCUGUCAUCCAAUCCAGAAUUACCACACAUACAAAGAAGGAGGAUAAAAUACCUCUAUACCCAGGUAAAACAAAUCAAAAAAUAACAUAGAUGAUGACAAAAGUAGAAAACAUUUUUUAAAAUAGGUAUAAUUAUCAUGUGCAGCAUGUGCAAAUAUUUUUUAAAAUGAACAUAAUGAGGAGAGUCAUAGGGAUAUAAAAAAAGAACCAAAGGGAAAUUCUAAAGAUAAAAUUAUGAUACCAAAAAUUAAAAUUAUUCUGAUUGGUAGAUUAGGCCCUGAAAUAGAAAGUCAGUGAAAUUGAAAACAUGGCAACAAAAAUUAAAAUAUAAAAUAAAUAUAAAUAAAUGCACAAAGGUAAAAAACAAGAUAUUAAUGGCCUCAAUAUUAAUAUCAGAGACAAUAUCAAUUGCAACAAAAUACAUGGGGUGGAAUACUAAAAAGAAAGAGAAAGAGAAAAACAAUGUGAAGCAAUUCUUUUUUUUUUUUUUGAGACAGUCUCACUCCAUCGCCUAGGCUGGAGUGCAGUGGCGUAAUCUUGGCUCACUGCAACCUCUGCCUCCCGGGUUCAAGCAAUUCUCCUGCCUCAGUCUCCCAAGUAGCUGGGAUUACAGGCUACUACUACCAUGCUCAGCUAAUAUUUUUUUUUUGUAUUUUUAGUAGAGACAGGGUUUCGCCAUGUUGGCUAGGGUGGUUUUGAACUCCUAACCUCAGGUGAUCCACCCGCCUCGGGAUUACAGGCGUGAGCCACCGUGCCCGGCCCAUAUUUUAAAAAUAUCUAUAUUUUAUACCAAGUCAUCAGACAUUUGAGAACAUAUCCUAUUGAAGUAAAACACAGUAAGGAUGUAUUUAAAGAAUGAGUAUUGAAGAAAUACUCACAGAAUUGAAAAAUCAGAGAAUGUUAAAUAAUUAUAAUAUAUUCAUAUUAAAAAAUAAUAUUCAGUCUUAAAGCAAAUAGUUAAAGCAACUAAACCAGUUGUAAUAGGCAGAUUUCCAAAAAACGGUUAUGUAAGAAAACAAGAUACAAACAUUGUAAUAUCAUUUCAUGUUUUCAAUAUAAAUUAUUUAAAAAUUUCAUAUAUGUAUAUGUAUGUUUACCAAACUAUGUGAGUACUGAGAAAAAUAUGAAAGAAUGCAUGCUUGAUUGUCAUAUCCCAUGGGUGUGUAAUGGGAGUAGUGAAGAAGAUAAAUGGGGUAGUAUAAAAAAUAUAAAACCAUAAUACACUAAAAUGUAAUAUGAAUGUUAUACUUUACAUUUGUUUAAAAUUACAUAUGUGAUUUGUACAACUAAAGUGGUAUAAAAAUUAGAAGCAAAGUUAAAUGAGAAGGAAUUGAUUAAAUGUACAUACAUAUACCCACAGAACGGUAUCAAUACAUGGGUACACAUACACACACAUAUAUAUAUAAUGUUUAUGUUCACUAAAUAAUUAUGUGUCACUUAACGAUGGAUAUACAUUCUGAGAAAUGUGUUGUCAGGCAAUUUUGUCCUUGUGCAAAUAUCAUAGAGUGUAUUUACACAAACCUAGUUCACACUUUGGCUAUCUGGUAUAGACUAUUGCUUCCAGGCUACAAACCUGUACAACAUGCUACUGUUCCAAAUAUUGUAGGCAAUUGUAACUGGAUGUUAAGUAUUUGUGGAUCUUAAUGUAUCUAAACAUAGAAAAGGCACAUACAAAAAUACAGUAUUAUAAUCUUAUGAGACCAUGGUCAUCCAUGUGGUCCAUCAUUGACUGAAGAAUCGUUAGCAUGUCAUGACUGUACAUAUACAGCAUUCAUAUAUUUAAAUACAUGCAUAUAUAUUAUAUAUAUAUGGGGCAUACACAUAAGUAAUAUAUAUUUUCAUACACCUUGCAAUUUUACUGCUUGGAUUUAUUUUCUUAGAAAACAAAAUAAAUAAGAUAGUAUAGAUUUAAAAAUCUAUGGAUAAAAUAAUUCAAAGCAAUAGUACUUUUGUAGUGAAUAACAUAAUAUAGUAUAAAUGUACAAAUACAGUGAUGCAUUACAGAUAUUUUGCGUAUUUUACAGCAUGCAAGUUAUCUCUUUAAAAGAGCUUUAGAAAUGAAUUCAGUAAGUGAAAGAACAAAAUAUUUUUAUAUCAAAUUAUUUUGCCAAAUUUAUACGUUACUACCGCUAGUAACGUAUGAGAUCAUUCAUCUCACCAUUGCAAACAUUGUCAUUAUAAUUCAAAAAAUUGUAUUUACUAUUUGGUUGACUUAAUUUACAUUUUUAAGAAUAGUAUAAAAUGGCUAAAGUGAUGGCAUUUUAAUUAUUUGAUUCAUCUUUUUUGGCUCCACUUAACAAUUGAGGUUCUAUUAAUUAUUUUAUGGAUUUAUGUGGGCUUUUCUAUCAAGCUACGUUCUGAAAUAGUUGCUCAUAAUUUAGUACUGCUUUCUUUUUCUCUUAAUUUUAGUUAAAGCUUCUGACAUACAGUAGUUGUAAAUUAUAUAUUAAAUCUAUUGGUUUUUUCCAUUAUGAUUUUUUUCCUUAUUGUAAUAAAGCUUAAAAUGAAUAUCCUUCCUCUUGAACAAGUUUCCUAUCUAGCUUGUAUUAAAUUAAUCUCAGUGGAACUUAAGGAUCCAUAGCAAAUGGAGGAUUCCUGAAAUCCAACUGAAUAUCAAGUAUUUUCUGAAGACAUCAUAAGUAAUAGUUUGUGUACUUUUAAUUGUGUGAAAUAUUUUAAGCUUAAUAAGCCAUAUAUGUAUUUAAAACUAAUAAAUUUAUAGAUAGCAUAUGCAACAUUGAAUUGAUCUAACAGAUACCAAAAGAAGUACACCUAUAAUGCAGGCAGUUGAAAUUUAUUUUGACACAGGAACUUCUUUAUUUUUAUUUUUUAUUUUUUUGAGAUUGAGUCUCACCCUGUCGCCCAGGUUGGAGUGCAGUGGCACCAUCUCUGCUCACUGCAACCUCUGCCUCUCCGGUUCAGGUGAUUCUCGUGGCUCAGCCUCCCAAGUAGCUGGGAUUACAGGCGUGCACCACCAUGCCCGGCUAAUUUUUGUAUUUUUAGUAGUUUUGAACUCCUGACCUGAGGUGAUCUGCCCACCUCGGCCUCCCAAAGUGUUGGGAUUACGGGCAUAAGCCACGGCUCCCAGCCAAGGAACUUAUUAUACUAAGUGUGGAGAACCCUGCUAUAGAAGUCUGUCAAAUAUUUACUGCCCCCACCCUUUUCUUAGUAUUUCUGUAAUUCAAAUAACUUUUCAUAUUUCAUAUUUAGUUUUUCAUAUUUAUUAUUGUAAUCUAUUGGGAAGUUAUUUUUACAUAGAAAGUUGGUUAGGAAUACGAUUUAUCUUGUCAGGUUUUAUAGUUUUUCUAAAAGUUUACCUACGUGUUUUCUUUUUUCUUUUUUCUUUUUUUUUACUUUUUUUUCUUAUUUUGAGAUGGAGUCUCACACUUGUUGCCCAGGCUGCAGUGCAGUGGCGCGAUCGUGGCUCACUGUAACCUCCACCUCCCGGUUUCAAGCGAUUCUUCUGCCUCAGUCUCCCGAGUAGUUGGGAUUAUAGGUGCCAGCCACCACACCUGAAUUUUUUGUAUUUUUAAUAGAUACUGGGUUUCAUCAUGUUGACCAGGCUGGUCUGGAACUCCUGACCUCAGGUGUUCUGCCCGCCUCGGCCUCCCAAAGUGCUGAGAUUACAGGCGUGUUUUCAUAAGUUUCUUUUCUCUAUAAAUAUCAUAUUGUAUUACUAAAGUGGAGUCAUUUUUGUUUCAUUAUUACUUAAUAGCUUUAACUGUGGUAAUGAAUUUCAGUGCUUUCCUUUCAUACUUUAUGAUUUUUGCACCUUCAGCUUGAAAUCAGGUACUAUUAAACUCCAGUAAUUUUUAUUUUUAUAACACAUUGCAAUUUUUGUUAUUUUCUUUUCCAAUAAUUCUACAUUUUUGUUCAUUGUAGCAACAUUAGAAAUAUACUUUUAUUAUUUAUUUAUUUAAUUAAUUAUUAUUAUUAUUUUUUGAGACAGAGCCUCUCUCUGUCACCCAGGCUGGAGUGCAAUGGCACAGUCUCAGCUCACUGCAACCUCCACCUCCUAGGUUCAAGUGAUUCUCCUGCCUUAGCCUCCUGAGUAGCUAGGAAUACAGGUGCAUGCCACCAUACUCGGCUAAUUUUUGUAUUUUUAGUAGAGACGGGGUUUCACUAUGUUGGCCAUGCUGGUCUUGAACUCCUGAACUCGUGAUCAGCCUGCUUUGGCCUCCCGAAAUGCUGGGAUUACAGGCGUGAGCCUCCACACUGGCCUCACAUGCUUUUAGUUAUAGUGUUUUGUUUUUGCUUUUUAGUAAUUGAAGUAAUUGUUGUUUUCAAAUUCCUUCUUCUGGUUUAUCAAUUUCCUUAUAUUUUUCUUAAUGUUUUUACUGAGAAAUGCUAACAAAUUUUAUCAUGCAAUCAUGUAUAUUUUUAUUAUAUUCAGUAAUAUACUAAUGCUUUAUUAUGUUAAUUAGCUAUAAAAAUAUAUUUAAAAGUCCUGCUUUGUCAUGUUGGCUACAGAAUAACACUAAUCACUAAUAUGUCAUUUCAAAUAUAUAAAUAUCAAAGUAUAUAUGUGUGUGUUUUAUACACCAUAUAUUACAUUAUAUUAAAUACAUAUAUGCCUUAUUUAUAUAUAUAUAUAAUGUAUGCUGAAUUUUCUUUCUCUUUCUUCCCUUCUUCUUUCUUUCUCUCUCACUUUAUUUCUUGCUUGCUUUUCUGUUUUUGUUUAAUCUGUUUUUUGGUGACCCAGACAGCAUCCAUUUUCUCUUCCUAAGAACAUUCUAUUUUUUGGGGGGAGGGAUCUAUCACUUCCCCUUAUUGUUGAUAAAUUGAUAGAAUGAUAAAUCAAGUUACCUUGACCACUCUUAUAUAGCCAAUGACUCACUCUAGGUCAAUAAUACUAUCCCAGGACUUUGCAUCUUGACUGAACAUUUGUUCACUCUUCUUGAGUAAAAAAACUCCAAAACUCGGUGAAAACAAGCCAAAAAUAUAUUAAUUAUUGCUCACAUAUCUAUGAGUUGGUUUGGUUUCUGACCUUCCAGGCAGGACUGUCACGAAUUAUUCUUGUCAUUAUACAUCUGAGAUGACAAAAAGACUAGCUGAGAUGAUAAGUUCUGUGUUUCACUGAUCAUCGUUGGAUGAGUGAGCUUAACAAGAGACGUUACUCUCAUAGCAACACCAAAGAUGAUAAAGAGCAUUUGGCUAACUGACACUUUUCUCCAUGUACUAUUUGCCAAAACAAGUCACAUAACUAAGCCAAAAGAGAUGGAGGAAUUCAUUUCCCUCAUGGAGAUGAGAAGACUUGCAAAGUUAAAUAACAAGAGUAGAUACAGAAGAAGGAGAAGUAUUAGAGUCAGUAAUGAAAUCUACCAGGCAUUGAGAGCCACAAAGGCAAAAUGUAUGUGUAAAAUAUUCACUUUAUUAGCACCUAAGAAAGAGAGAGUUGAGCAAGCUAUAUCUGUUUCCUAAGAGCCCAGUAAUUGCUGGUAUACAUGUUGUUUCUUAUGCUAGUUCCUAGUCUCUGUGUAAAUUUGAACUAAACAAUAUAUAAAAGAUUCCCCUCUUCUUAAUUUUGUGGAAAUUGGUAUUGCUUACUUCCAAAUAAAGAAUCCUAAGUGGUUAAGAAUAAAACAAAAUUUGAAGAAGGUAGAAUAUAUAAAGAGGCUGACAAAUUCUUUGUGAUCUUGGCUUAAAGAACAAUACAUCUCACUGUGGCCUUUGCUACUUUAUUACUUUUCUUCCUAAGAGCCUUAGGAAUUUCUAAAUCCAGUUUUCCAGCUUAAUCUUUACAGUGGACAGAAAACUUCUCUUUAUACUAACUCCCAUUUGAGAAUCCUGUACUUUUCCUCAAAUAUAGAGAACUUCACUUCUCUCCUUGCCAUGGCCAGCUUAUUUUUCACUUAUUGGCUUCCACAAAGUUGGCCGUGACCUGUGCUCUCCACAACAAAAAUCACAUAAACUGAUGGCAAUGCAGAAUUCAAGUAAACAUAUUUAGCUAGUGAUGAUGCUUGAUCCAGUAGUAGCUGCACUGUUAGUUCUCUCAACUUCUAUUACUUUUGCUUGCUAUUUCUCUUAGUUUCCUUUGUUUUCCCUUCAUAGUACAUUCUAUUGUAUUACACAAUAUAAAUAUGUCAUUUUAUUAUUAUCAUCAUAUUACACAAUACAAAGAUUCUACAGCAAUGCUGUCCAAUUGAAAUAUACUGUGAAUGAUAAGUAUAAGACAUAUAUGUAGUUUUAAAUUUUAAUACCCAUAGUGAAAUAAAAAGAUAAAAUGAAAUUUAGUAGUAUAUUUAAUUCCAAAUAUUCAAAAUAUAACCAUCUAAAAAUACAAUCAAUAUUAAAUUGUUAAUAUGAGUUUUUUCUUUUUUUUGGUAUAAAGUGUUCAAUAUCCAAUGUGCAUUUUAUACUUACUGCAAGCAUGUCUCCAUUUGGACUCACUAUAUUUGAAGCGGUCAAUAGCCACACAUGGCUAGAGACUACAAUAUUCAACAAUGUAAGUCCAUAAAGUUUCUUAGGGCUGAGUUAUGUAUGUCUAAUUUAUUUGCAAAUUUCAUAAGGGCAGAGGUCUUUUCUAUACUGUUUACCACAAUACACAUAGAACCAAUCAGAAGGUUUAGUCUAAAAUAAUAGGCAUUUAAGAAUUUUGUAUCAAAAACUCAUUUAGUAUAAUGUUAUCUAUUUUUUCUAGAGUGAAAUACAUAGUUCCAUCUUUUAAAUUUCUACCUUAUAAGCACUAUUAUCUACCAUAAAAUUAUCUGUUCAUUUGUCUUGAAAUUCUUUAUUAAACACUUAGAUACAAGUUUUUCUUUAUUUAAAUUCUCUCAAUAAUUUUCCAUUUUUCCCAAUGCUACGUGAGUCAAUCGUCAAGGAAAAAUAUCCUGUUCAUUAAGAGUUUAAAUGUUUUAGUAUAAAAUGAUGACCUGUUUUAUGAUCAAACAAUAGUUAUUUACCAAAGGUUACACAUUCCCAGCUGUGUAUUAUUAUGAAACUUUAGGUUAUGUCAAUCAUCAAUAGAGUUUCUUCAUUUGAUACCCUUAACAUAAUUUUUUCCAGAUAUAGAUACAUUAUGUUCAUAUGUUAUCUUUAGAUUUCUGGAUUUUUGUGAUAUCUGUUCUCAUUUAUAUGGUCAUGAACGAUUUUAAUAGAAGGUGAAAUAGAAUAAGAUACUCUUAGUAAUCUGCCUCAUAAGUGAGAAAUUCACUAUAUUUUUUUGACAUUUAUUAGAAUCAUUAUUUUUAAAUUCCAUGGCUAUAGUGCUAUACUUAUCCUACUGAGAACUGCUCUCAAUUUAAUUAAUAAGGACUUGUCUGUUGAAUACAUCAUUCCUUUUAGUAUUCCUCCCAUCUUCUCAGGGUAUACUGGAAGGAAAAUUUGUGUGCUUUUGCUGAAUAUUAUUAUAGUUAUACCUUUGGAUAGUUUAAUACACUGACAUGAUUAGUUGUACUGAGUUUAUAUUUUAAUAUAACACUCAAAUUUUUUACUGGAUUAUGCGAGUCAGGUACUCUUACCUGAACAUUUUAGCCACUUAUAUAUAAACCUCUACCAUAGUUUUACAAUGCUAGGCUGUCUUUAAAAAGUCCAUGGCAUUUAUCAGGAAUAAGACAUUUUAAAAAUCAAUUUCUAGCAGUUUGAGCUAUGAGAAUGCAAAUUAUAACAUUGUACUACAGUUCUGGGAUGUACUAAAAAAUUAAGAAGAGGCAUAACAAUAAUUACGCCAGGUGGUGUGUUUUAUUUGUAAUGACAAAGCUUAUUUCUACACAAAAUGCCUCUAGUAUAAAAGAAUGUCAAGAAUUACUAUCUAACGCAUUGCUGAUUUCUUUAAUUACUCUCAUUAAUGUGCCUUUAAUAGCUACCCAGAAUUAAAUAUUUAAAAUAUAUUGUGCAUUUUUUAUUAAAGGAGAUAUUUAAAUAAAGCAAAAUAAAUUUCAUAUCUAUAAUCUUCAGUUAUAGGAAUGAAGAUAGAAGCAGUGUAUAUUUAUCUUAGGGAAGUUGUUAGUAAUUACUAAAUUUCUUUAACAAAGCAAAAUUGGAUUCACCAAAAUAUAAACAAUAUAAAUAAUCAUAUGUUUAAGUGGUUCAACAUUUUAAAGUGUUAAUUACCUUCUAAGAUAUAUUCUGCCUCAAAGCCUCCAUACAUGCUGAGAAACAUACUGAGGAAUUAUAAACAUCUUGUGUAAAACAUGUUGUCAUAUAUUCUCCAACAACUGUGUUUCAGUAAAAUCUGCCCAAGGCUUAACAAAAAAGUGUUUAAAGUAUUAUCUGUCUACAUCAAGAGCAGCAUUUUGUCAGUUAAAUAAAUUAUGAUAACUUUGUGAAAUACAGUAAUUAAGGUGCUUCUAUGUAAUAGAAUAAUGUGUAACUGGUAGAAUAUUACUUUACAAGAAUGUUUAAGGUUAUUAAAAUGUUCAGAUAUGUUAAACAAAGUGCACUUGUUGAAUAAUAUACAGCUUAUGAUGAAAAUUUUGUGAGUGAAUGAUGAAAAUUUUGUUGGGUAUAUAUGUAAAUAUUUAAUGUGUGUAGAAAAUGAGAGAGAGACAAAGAUGGUAAGAGCAGGUAAGUACUUUAAAAGAAUUAUAACCCAAAGAAUUAUAAUAAUCAUCAUCUGGGUAGUAGAAUUAGGUGUUCUUAAUUUUCUUCUUACACUUUCAAAAGCAUUUUACAGUGUCAUUAUGAAUAUAUAUGACUAUUUUAAUAAAAAUAAUUGCACAAAGUAUGUAUUAAUGAUUAUAAAUAGAAUAUAUUAUUUAGUAUAUACUAUACUUAUAAUUACUUCCUUCAACAGAACUACUUUGUUUUACUAUGAUCAGACACUAAUAUUAACCAAAUUAUAUCUUCUAGAUUCAUCUGCUCCAUUUAUACCCUCUUUUAAAUUUACCUCCAAGAAAGCAAUUCUGUUCUUUCUUGCACCUCUAAUUUCUUUCCACUGUAUCCUUUCUUUUUAAUUCCAUAAAUGAGUAUGAAGUUUGUCAUGGAUGUUCUGUGUGGCCCUAGGACAAAAUCUAUCAGAAACUGUAUUGCAUGAAGAUGGCUGGCAGCUGAGUCCUUUAGAAAUGCCUUUUGCUGAAGGGAGUUGGGCCAUCAAAGAUGUAAUGAUACAUCCCUGGGAGAGGUCAGGGUCCAAUGACGGUUUAAUGUGAGGUUUGAGAUGCCCAGCCCCCUUGCAUGAUUCAGAACUUCUCUGUAGGGCCGUCUCCAUUUCAUAAGCCCUGUGUGAUUGGCUGAAGUUUCUGUUCCUACUGUAACCAAUUCCUCCCUUCUCCUUUUCCAAUUCAGCUUCUUGUGUUUCCUCAUAGAUACUGCGACUGAAAACGACCCAAUGCCUUUCCUGCAUAAAAAUGUCUGUCUCUUAGUCUACUUUGCAGGCAAAAUGACAAAGGGAUUAUUCAAAGGUACAUCCAGCUAGUGUUGCAAGGAAAUGUUUAUUGGGAUUACACACAAAAAUGUGAAGGUUCUGUAUAAGAAGGGGAGCCCAUUUUCAGUUCAAACCUUAAAUAAACUAAAUGAAUUUUUUUUUUUUUUUUUUUUUUUGCUCUCACGCUUAACACGGCAAAAUAAUUAAAGAAGAUAGGAAAUAUCAGUACAGAAAACCGUAGUCUAAGCAGACAGACAUAGGCUUUUUUUGUGGAAAACAAGUGAAACUGUCAGUCAGCAGUUACAGAAAAUAUUGCAGAACAUCUCAGAGGGAAGCAAUGUCCCUCUGGACAUCAAUUGUGGUAGAUUUACUUAAAGUAAAUUGUAUAAUUUUUCAUGACUUCAAAGGCUAAGUAUUUAGUGGUAAUGGCUCUUAAAACUGUCAUCAGAAGGAAGAGGAUCAGCAGAGUUGGGACAAUCUAGUCAAAUUCAAUUAAAUAUUGAAUACUAAAUUCUUCCUAUAUUUUCUAGCUUUGUUCUAGAUGUUACUUGGGAGGCUGAGGCAGGAGAAUCGCUUGAAUCUGGGAGGCUGAGGUUGCAGUGAGCCAAGAUCCUGCCACUGAACUCCAGCCUGGGUCACAGAGUGAGACUCCAUCUCAAAAAAAAAAAACCAGAAAGCAAAACAACAACAACAACAACAACAACAACAACAACAAAAAACUUAAGCUUUAGAAAAUGUUGUAAUAGAGAUUUUAUGGAGGGUAAUAUGGUUAACAUUUCUCUACUUCCUUAGUGAUGGAGAAUCAAGAGUUUCUUACCUACCUAUUCUCUAUCUACCUCUCAGUUUUGAAUCCUUCACUUGUUUACUCUGCAUCAUAUCUAGCACUCUGCCAGUCUGUUUUAUAUCCCUACCCCUCUUGAACCUUGAUAGCUAAACUUAAGCAUCAUGUAGUCUACAACUAAUCCAGACUUAUUCUCUCUGUGAAAUAGGUUCUAGCAUCUAUCACCAUUUCAGUAAAGGGCAAAUGAAAGAAUUGUAAACACACCCUCACAUUCUAAGUCUUCCAUCCACUGAGCAACAGGAAUUUCUUAAUUUAUACUCCAUAUGGUGGCCAAGGACUGAUUUAUUAUUAUGUGAGUAAUUCACACCAGGUAUUCAUGACCAGGUAAAUCUACACUCCUCAUAAUUCUGUGGUUUCCCUGUUGUUUGAAAUAGUCUGUAAAGUUGUUUAUUCUUCCCUGUGUCCUUCGUUUUGUGCUUUUUUUUAUUCAAUUACUUAUUACUUAUCUAUCCUAUUUUUCUUUCCCCUCCCACCCCAAACUCUGACAACUACUGACCUGUUCAUCAUUCCUGCAGUUUCUCCUUUUCUAGAAUGUCAAAUAAAUACAAUCUUAAAAUAUGUAACCUUUGAGACUGGCUUCUGUUACAGCACAAUGCAUUUGCAAUUCAUCUAUGUUGUUGUGUGUGUCAGUAGUUGAUUACAUUUUAUUGUUCAGUAAUACUCCCUUGUUUGUAUAGGCUAAGUUUGUCUAUUCCAUCACCUAUGCAUUUGAAUUAAUGCCAGUUUGAGUUAUCCUGGCAUAAACAUUCUUAUAUAGAUUUUGGGGUGAAAGUAACUUUUCAUUUCUCUAAAAUAAACAUGUAGAAAUGGGAUUGUUGAGUCAGAUGGUAAUUACAUGUUUAACUUUUUAAGAAACAGACUGCCUUAGAUUCUUUAGUGUUGCUGUAAUAGCAUAUCAUAGACUGGGUAAUUUUAAAGAGGGUAAAUUUAUUUCUUAUAGUACUGGAGACUGGAAAGUCCAAGAUCAAAUGGCACACAUCUGGAUAAGGCCUUCUUACUGCACCAUUUCAUGGAUGGGAGCAGAAAGGCAAGAAAACAUAGAAGUGGGGUCACUUUUUUGUCUGGUAGCUUUACUUUUAAAUUUUUGAAGAACCUCCAUCUGUUUGUAUUAGUUCAUUUUGUGUUGCUGUAAAGGAAUACCUGAGGCUAGGAAAUGUAUAAAGAAAAGAAUUUUAUUUGGCUCAUAGUUCUGCAUGUGCUGUACAAUCAUGGCACCAGUAUCUGCUUGGCUUCUGGUGAGGCCUCAGGAAGCUUUUACUCAUAGCAGAAGGGAAGGGAUCCAGCAUGUCACAUGGUGAAGAAGGGAGCAAGCAAGAGAGAGAAAGUGCCAAGCUCUUUUAAACAACCAGCUCUCGCACGAGCUAACAGAGUAAGGACUUACUUAUUCCUGUGAAGACAACACCAAGUCAUUCGUGAAGGAUCCAUGUCUAUGACCCAAACAUCUCGCAUUAGGCCUACCUGCAACAUUGGAGGUCACAUUUCAACAGAAUAUCAGUGUUUUCACAAUGCCUAUAUUACUGCUGAGUUUUAGGAGUUCUUUCUGUAUAUCUUUCUGGAUACAAGUUUUUCAUUGAUGUUAUGCUUGAUAAAGCAAACAAGGUCUGAGGGCAAAGACUAGAGUAAAUACCUAAUGCCUUGAUGCACAGACAUUGAUGAAUGUUCACAAGCAUCAAGAAUAUGAAAGGCAUUAUGACUUCAUGAAACAAACUAAAUAAGGUGCCAGUGACUAACUUUAAAUAGAGGGAUAUGUGUGACCUCUCAGACAGAUAAUUCAAAAUUACUGCUUUGAGGAACUCAACCGACUUUAGGAAAAUACAGAGAAGGAAUUCAAAAUUUUAUCAGAGAAACUUGACAAAGAGGUUGAAAAAAAUCAAAUGGAAGUCCUGGAGCUGAAGAUGCAUUUGAGGUUCUCAACAGCAAAAUUGAUCAAGCAGAAGAAAAAACAUCAGUGAGCUCAAAGACAGCUAUUUAGAAAUAUCAAAAAGUCAGAGAAAAAAAAAAGAAUGAAAUUCUAUGGCCAGGUGCAGUGGCUCAUGCCUGUAAUCCCAGCACUUUGGGAGACUGAGAGCGGAGGAUCACUUGAGCUCAGGAGUUCAAGAACAACUGGGGCAACGUGGCAAAAACCCAUCUCUACAAAAAAUACAAAAGGUAGCCAGACAUGGAGAUGCACACCUGUAGUCACAGCUACUCAGGAGGCUUAGGCAGGAGAAUCACUUGGGCUUGGAAGAUCAAGGCCACAGUGAGUUAUGAUCGAGCCACUGCACUCCAGCAUGGGUAACUAAGCAAAUAUCCUGUCUCACAACAACAACAACAACAAAGGAAUGGAAUCCUGUCAUUCACAAUGUGGAUGGAACUGGAGGACAUUAAGUGAAAUAAACUAUGAACAGAAAGUUAAACACCACAUGUGAUAUGGUUUGGCUCUGUGUCACCACCCAAAUUUCAUCUCGAACUGUAAUCCCCACAUGUUGAGGGAGGGACCUGGUGGGAAGUGAUUGGAUCAUAGGGGUGGUUUCACUCAUGCUGUUCUUGUGAUAGUGAGUUCUCAUGAGUUCUGAUGAUUUAAAAGUGUUUGGCAGUUCCUCUCCUCUCUCUUGCCUGCUGCCAUGUAAGAUGUGCCUUGCUUCCCUUUUGCCUCCUGCCAUGAUUGUAAGUUUCCUGAGGUCUCCCCAGCCAUGU
rnacentral:lncRNA from 10 species